AAACGUAGGGGGCAAGCGUUGUCCGGAAUUAUUGGGCGUAAAGAGUGCGGAGGCGGCACUAUAAGUCAUCGGUAAAAGAGUGGGGCUCAACCCCAUUGUGCCGAUGAAACUGUAGAGCUAGAGCAUAUUAGAGGUAAGUGGAAUUUCUAGUGUAGCGGUGGAAUGCGUAGAUAUUAGAAGGAACACCAGUGGCGAAGGCGGCUUACUGGGAUAUAGCUGACGCUCAAGCACGAGAGCGUGGGGAGCAAACAGGAUUAGAUACCCCGGUAGUCC
rnacentral:rRNA from 1 species